rnacentral:rRNA from 1 species
GGUUGAUCCUGCCAGUAGUUAUAUGCUUGUCUUGAAGAUUAAGCCAUGCAUGUCUAAGUAUAAACCACUUUAUACUGGUGCAACUGCAGAAGGCUCAUUAAAACAGUUAUAGUUUAUUUGAUGGUACCUUUCUACUUGGAUAACCGUAGUAAUUCUAGAGCUAAUACAUGCGCAAAAUCCCAACCUUUUGGACGGGAUGUAUUUAUUAGAUAAAAAACCAUCUCCGUGGGGCAACUCACGGAAAGCCGUGGUGAUUCAUAAUAAAUGUCGAAUCGCGUGGACUCGUUCCUGCGAUGGGUCAUUCAAAUUUCUGCCCUAUCAGCUGUCGAUUGUAGUGUUUUGGACUACAAUGGCGUUAACGGGUGACGGAGAAUUAGGGUUCGAUUCCGGAGAGGGAGCCUGAGAAACGGCUACCACAUCUAAGGACGGCAGCAGGCGCGCAAAUUACCCACUCCUGACACAGGGAGGUAGUGAAGAUAAAUAACAAUACCGGGCCACAUGGUUUGGUAAUUGGAAUGAGUACAAUUUAAAUCCCUUAACGAGGACCCAUUGGAGGGCAAGUCUGGUGCCAGCAGCCGCGGUAACACCAGCUCCAAUAGCGUAUAUUAAAAUUGCUGCAGUUAAAAAGCUCGUAGUUGGAUAUCUGGUUCGGAUGCCUGGCCCGCCUCUUUCGGGAGUGUGUGCGCCGGUCGCAACCGUCCCAUCCUUCCGGAGCAGCGCUUUUUGCUCUUGUAAUGGGAGCGAGGAGUGCGGCCUGGAUCUUUUACUUUGAAAAAAUUAGAGUGUUCAAAGCAAGCGUUUUGCUGUGAAUACAUUAGCAUGGAAUAAUAAAAUAGGACUUCGGGACUAUUUUGUUGGUUUCUAGGCCUGAAGUAAUGAUUGAUAGGGAUAGUUGGGGGUGCUUGUAUUGAAUGGCCAGAGGUGAAAUUCUUAGAUUCGUUCAAGACAAACUACUGCGAAAGCAUUCACCAAGGAUGUCUUCUUUAAUCAAGAACGAAAGUUGGGGGAUCGAAGACGAUCAGAUACCGUCGUAGUCUCAACCAUAAACUAUGCCAACUAAGGAUCAGUGAACGUUGUAAAGACUUCAUUGGGACUUUCCGAGAAAUCAAAGUCUUUGGGUUCCGGGGGGAGUCUGGUCGCAAGGCUGAAACUUAAAGGAAUUGACGGAAGGGCACCACCAUGGAGUGGAGCCUGCGGCUUAAUUUGACCCAACACGCGAAAACUUACCAGGUCCAGACAUAGUUAGGAUUGACAGAUUGCAGAUCUUUCUUGAUUCUAUGGGUGGUGGUGCAUGGCCGUUCUUAGUUGGUGGAGUGAUUUGUCUGGUUAAUUCCGUUAACGAACGAGACCUCAGCCUGCUAAAUUGUCAGAGCAACGCUUUUGGCGUUGUUUGCUGUCUUCUUAGAGGGACUGUCGGCUUCUAGCCGAAGGAAGUUUGAGGCAAUAACAGGUCUGUGAUGCCCUUAGAUGUUCUGGGCUGCACGCGCGCUACACUGUUGCAUUCAACGAGCUCUACCCUAGAUCGAUAGGUCUGGGUAAUCUUUGAAAGUGCAACGUGCUGGGGGCUAGAGUAUUGCAAUUAUUACUCUCAAACCAGGAAUUCCUAGUAAACGCGAGUCAUCAGCUCGCAUUGAUUACGUCCCUGCCCUUUGUACACACCGCCCGUCGCUCCUACCGAUGAAUGAUCCGGCGAAAUCUUCAGACUGGGUGUUUUGGCCGGGUUCCGCUCGGCUGAUUCGCUUGGGAAGUUGCUUGAACCUUAUCAUUUAGAGGAAGGAGAAGUCGUAACAAGGUU